rnacentral:rRNA from 1 species
AUACGAAGGGGGCUAGCGUUGUUCGGAAUUACUGGGCGUAAAGCGCGCGUAGGCGGACUGAUCAGUUGGGGGUGAAAUCCCAGGGCUUAACCCUGGAACUGCCUCCAAUACUGUCAGUCUUGAGUUCGGGAGAGGUGAGUGGAAUUCCUAGUGUAGAGGUGGAAUGCGUAGAUAUUAGGAAGAACACCAGUGGCGAAGGCGGCUCACUGGCCCGAUACUGACGCUGAGGCGCGAAAGCGUGGGGAGCAAACAGGAUUAGAAACCCUAGUAGUCC